rnacentral:rRNA from 1 species
AUGAACGCUAGCUACAGGCUUAACACAUGGCAAGUCGAGGGGCAGCAUGGUCUUAGCUUGCUAAGGCCGAUGGCGACCGGCGCACGGGUGAGUAACACGUAUCCAACCUGCCGUCUACUCUUGGACAGCCUUCUGAAAAGGAAGAUUAAUACAAGAUGGCAUCAUGAGUCCGCAUGUUCACAUGAUUAAAGGUAUUCCGGUAGACGAUGGGGAUGCGUUCCAUUAGAUAGUAGGCGGGGUAACGGCCCACCUAGUCUUCGAUGGAUAGGGGGUUCUGAGAGGAAGGUCCCCCACAUUGGAACUGAGACACGGUCCAAACUCCUACGGGAGGCAGCAGUGAGGAAUAUUGGUCAAUGGGCGAGAGCCUGAACCAGCCAAGUAGCGUGAAGGAUGACUGCCCUAUGGGUUGUAAACUUCUUUUAUAAAGGAAUAAAGUCGGGUAUGGAUACCCGUUUGCAUGUACUUUAUGAAUAAGGAUCGGCUAACUCCGUG